UACUAGAGUAGCACUCGCAUAUCAAUAAGGGAGGAAAAGAAACUAACAAGGAUUCCCUUAGUAACGGCGAGUGAAGCGGGAAGAGCUCAAAUUUGAAAUCUUCAAGGUUUUACCUUGACGAAUUGUAGUUUAAAGAAGUGUUUUCUGUUGAAGUUUUGGUAAAAGUUCUUUGGAAUAGGACAUCAUAGAGGGUGAGAAUCCCGUAUUUGACCAUUAUUUUCAGCUGUGUGAUACACUUUCAAAGAGUCGGAUUGUUUGGGAAUGCAGUCCAAAAUGGGUGGUAAAUUUCAUCUAAAGCUAAAUAUUGGCGAGAGACCGAUAGCGAACAAGUACCGUGAGGGAAAGAUGAAAAGAACUUUGAAAAGAGAGUUAAACAGUACGUGAAAUUGUCAAAAGGGAAGCGUUUGACACCAGUGUUGUUUUCUCGAAAAUCAAUUAAAAAUGAUGGGAUUUUGUGUUGUAUUGACUUUAAUCAGCUUUCUGCACUUUUUUCUUAGUCUUUUUUAAUGCACUUUUCGUUUAACAAGUCAACAUCAGUUUCUUUUGUUGUAAAAGGGUCAUUGGAAGGUGGCUUUCUUUUCGGAGAAAGUGUUUAUAGCCUUUGAUCUCUGCAACCGGAGAGACUGAGGUCUGCAGCGUAGACUCUUCGGGGUUAAAUACAUUUGUGCUAAGCUAUAGCUUUUUAUAGACAACUUGUUGACUAUAUUUAGUCUUGUGGCUUACUCGCUUAUGCUAUUUUACCUACGCUUAGGAUGUUGAUAGUCACAGCGUGUAC
rnacentral:rRNA from 1 species